rnacentral:rRNA from 1 species
UAGGGAAUCUUGCGCAAUGGGCGAAAGCCUGACGCAGCGACGCCGCGUGCGGGAUGAAGGCCCUCGGGUCGUAAACCGCUUUCAGCAGGGACGAUAUUGACGGUACCUGCAGAAGAAGGCCCGGCCAACUACGUGCCAGCAGCCGCGGUAAUACGUAGGGGCCAAGCGUUGUCCGGAUUUAUUGGGCGUAAAGAGCUCGUAGGCGGUUCGAUAAGUCGACGGUGAAAUCUCCACGCUCAACGUGGAGGGGUCCGUCGGUACUGUCGUGACUCGAGUCCGGUAGGGGAGAAUGGAAUUCCCGGUGUAGCGGUGAAAUGCGCAGAGAUCGGGAGGAACACCCGUAGCGAAGGCGGUUCUCUGGGCCGGUACUGACGCUGAGGAGCGAAAGCGUGGGGAGCAAACAG